CUGAUGGAAAUGAGUUUUGGGCGGUGUGACCCGCGCAUCAUGGGCCCUGCCUGGUGGACAGUUCUGAUGAUGGAAAUGUGGGAGCCACCAUAUGAUUUCUGGUCAUGGAAAUUACGUUGUUUUUCUUAGUUGAACAUGUUUCCCAAAUAGAUUUAGAUAUCUGGGCGUCGUUAUGUUCUGUCAUUCUAUGGAAUUUCUUCACUACCUAGAUGAACUCACUGUCACUGCUCAAAGAAACAAUGUGUAAAUGUAGAGGAAUGGAGGGUCAGCAGUUAUGAUAGUUUGGAGUUGAUAUCUUUUAAGGACAAAAUUCAGUUGGUUUUUUUUUCUUUUUUUUUUUCUUCUGUUUAAUUUAAUUUAAUUUUUUUAUUUUUGGAAAAUGGUUGUUAUAUCAUGGGUGUAUGGAUUGAUUAUAAAAAGCUUUAUGCAUAAAUUUUAGAAAUUAUGUUAUACUAUCUGAUUUUUUUUGUCAAACAUGCAUAAUCAAGGCUUAAGGAAGUGUUUUCAUUCAUUUCCAAUAGAAAAGAGUGAUACUUUGAAAGAUCAUGUGAGAUACUAGUAUUAAGUAGUCUAGAGGUGCUUCAUUUUUUUAGGUGUUAUUGGUGGGAAGUGGCCAUGUCUUCCUACAAUGAAAAUGGGCUUGCUACCAGACAUGAGGGAAAAUAUACCGUAAUUUUUGUAUGUUGGCUUUUAGGAAAUGGGUGCCUCUUUUCAUGGAACAACAUAUUGACAAUUGGAGAUUACUAUCUUGAAUUGUUCCCCAAGUAUCACCCUACUAGAGUACUUAGUCUUGUGUAUCAACCAUUUGCUCUUGGAACACUUGCUAUACUAGCAUACAAUGAGGCAGAGAUUGAUACCAUGCGGCGCAAUUUAACUGGAUAUGUUCUUUUCUUCAUCAGUUCGCUGUUAGUUCUUAUUGUAAGUAAUUUUUUUCUUAAUCUCCGCCUCCGUUUGAUACAUCAUUUGCAUUUUCUUUAACUUUACUAGCAGUGUCUGAUUACUUCUGUUUGACUUUUCAAAUGGGCAAUGCUAUGGCUGCUUGUGAUUGUAGUAAUUCGAAUCCUGCUUUCCCCAGAUUUGUCAUGUUGAUUUAGGUUUUUGGUCAUGUUGAUUCAAGUUUUUAUUUAUAUUUAUAUUUUGUUGUUGAAGCAUGUAUGUUUUUGGAUCUGUUCAUCUAUUUGUACGUUUAGUUUUCCUAGCUUGAUUCUAUUGCCACUUGUAUGCAUGCCAUCAUCAGCUCUUCAUUAUUACAUACACCUGAGAUUGAACAUGGAUCCAGGGUGGCGUGGCAUUAAGGUUAUUCUUUCUGAUGCCAAUGUGCCGGGUGAGGGGGAGCACAAGAUAAUGUCGUACAUUCGCUUGCAAAGAAAUCUACUAGGGUUUGACCUGAAUACACAACAUUGCUUGUAUGGGUUGG